rnacentral:rRNA from 1 species
AUUGAACGCUGGCGGCAGGCCUAACACAUGCAAGUCGAACGAGAGGCGGACGGGUGAGUAAUGUAUGGGACUCUGCCUGAUGGAGGGCGAUAACAACUGGACACUAUUGCUACUACCGCAUACCAUCAGAUGUGCCCAGAUGGGAUUAGCUUGUUGUUGGGGUAAAGGCCUACCAAGGUGACGAUCCGUAACUGGUCUGAGAGGAUGACCAGCCACACUGGAACUGAGACACGGUCCAGACUCCUACGGGAGGCAGCAGUGGGGAAUAUUGGACAAUGGGCGAAAGCCUGAUCCAGCCAUGCCGCGUGUGUGAAGAAGGCCUUCGGAUUGUAAAGCACUUUCAGUUGGGAGGCGUUACCCACAGAAUAAGCACCGGCUAACUCCGUGCCAGCAGCCGCGGUAAUAC